AAACAGCCUCUGACCGACUGACCAAUCAGACUUCUGAUUGGUCAGUCGGUCAGAAGCUGUUUGCUACAGUCUCACUCUCUCUCUCU